rnacentral:piRNA from 1 species
UAAAGAUUAUUUCUAUGAGCUAGAGUUUCCC